rnacentral:misc_RNA from 1 species
GAUGAAGAACGUAGCGAAAUGCGAUAAGUAAUGUGAAUUGCAGAAUUCAGUGAAUCAUCGAAUCUUUGAACGCACAUUGCGCCCGCCAGUAUUCUGGCGGGCAUGCCUGUUCGAGCGUCAUUUCAACCAUCAAGCCCCGGGCUUGUGUUGGGGACCUGCGGCUGCCGCAGGCCCUGAAAACCAGUGGCGGGCUCGCUGUCACACCGGGCGUAGUAGAUUUUAUCUCGCUCUGGGCGUGCUGCGGGUUCCGGCCGUUAAAAAACCCUUUUAACCCAAGGUUGACCUCGGAUCAGGUAGGAAUACCCGCUGUACUUAAGCAUAUCAAUAAGCGGAGGA